rnacentral:rRNA from 1 species
GAUGAACGCUAGCGGCAGGCUUAACACAUGCAAGUCGAGGGGCAGCAUGAGGGUUAGCAAUAACCCUUGAUGGCGACCGGCGCACGGGUGCGUAACACGUAUCCAAUCUGCCCGUUACUCGGGGAUAGCCUUCUGAAAGGAAGAUUAAUACCCGAUGGCAUGUAUUUCCGGCAUCGGAGAUACAUUAAAGAUUUAUCGGUAACGGAUGAGGAUGCGUACGAUUAGCUUGUUGGCGGGGUAACGGCCCACCAAGGCAGCGAUCGUUAGGGGUUCUGAGAGGAAGGUCCCCCACACUGGAACUGAGACACGGUCCAG